UACGUAGGCAGCAAGCGUUGUUCGGAGUUACUGGGCGUAAAGGGUGUGUAGGCGGUUGGAUAAGUGUGGUGUGAAAUCUCCCGGCUCAACUGGGAGGGUGCGCUACAAACUGUCUGACUAGAGUGCGGGAUGGGAAAGUGGAAUUCCUGGUGUAGCGGUGAAAUGCGUAGAUAUCUGGAGGAACACCGGUGGCGAAGGCGGCAUCCUGGACCGACACUGACGCUGAGGAGCGAAAGCCAGGGGAGCAAACGGG
rnacentral:rRNA from 1 species